ACAUGCCUACAACAUAGCGUUAAUACACCGGAUCCCAUUAGAACUUCACAGUUAAGCGCACUCAGGCUAGAGUAGUAUUGGGAUGGGUGAUCGCUCGGGAAGUCCUAGUGUUUUACAUGCC
rnacentral:rRNA from 1 species